UACAGAGGUCUCAAGCGUUGUUCGGAUUCAUUGGGCGUAAAGGGUGCGUAGGCGGCGCGGUAAGUCGGGUGUGAAAUCUCGGAGCUUAACUCCGAAACUGCAUUCGAUACUGCCGUGCUUGAGGACUGGAGAGGAGACUGGAAUUCCUGGUGUAGCGGUGAAAUGCGCAGAUAUCAGGAGGAACACCGGUGGCGAAGGCGGGUCUCUGGGCCGAUACUGACGCUCAUGCACGAAAGCGUGGGGAGCAAACAGG
rnacentral:rRNA from 1 species